rnacentral:lncRNA from 1 species
UUGAGUGAAGUACUUCACCCCUCCAAGCCUCAAGUUUUCUCAGGAGCUUGGAACGAUUUAGCUCAGUUUUGAUUUAUAUGAAAGUGGUCUGUGCAUGAAAAUACUGUUUAAGUGUAAAAUGACAUUAUUAGUACUCUGUGUGAGCAACUACACUUGCUGCUGUAGCCUGAGUGGAUGUCACCCUUUGGGUGCAUGUCUUGAAGUGAUUGAGUUAUUUAUGGAAAUUGCCCCAGGCAAGGCUAU